UAGGGAAUCUUCGGCAAUGGACGAAAGUCUGACCGAGCAACGCCGCGUGAGUGAAGAAGGUUUUCGGAUCGUAAAACUCUGUUGUUAGAGAAGAACAAGGACGUUAGUAACUGAACGUCCCCUGACGGUAUCUAACCAGAAAGCCACGGCUAACUACGUGCCAGCAGCCGCGGUAAUACGUAGGUGGCAAGCGUUGUCCGGAUUUAUUGGGCGUAAAGCGAGCGCAGGCGGUUUCUUAAGUCUGAUGUGAAAGCCCCCGGCUCAACCGGGGAGGGUCAUUGGAAACUGGGGGACUUGAGUGCAGAAGAGGAGAGGGGAAUUCCAUGUGUAGCGGUGAAAUGCGUAGAGAUAUGGAGGAACACCAGUGGCGAAGGCGGCUUUCUGGUCUGUAACUGACGCUGAGGCUCGAAAGCGUGGGGAGCAAACAGG
rnacentral:rRNA from 1 species